rnacentral:rRNA from 2 species
AGGUGCGAUCAUACCAGCACUAAUGCACCAGAUCCCAUAAGAACUCCAAAGUGAAGCGUGCUUGGGCGAGAGGAGUACUAGGAUGGGUGAGCUUCUGGGAAGUCCUCGUGUUGCACCUC